ACGGGGUGCAGCAGGCGCGAAAACUUUACCAUGCGGGCAACCGUGAUAAGGAAACCCCGAGUGCCAGCACAGGCUGGCUGUCCACCAGUGUAAAUAACUGGUGAAGAAAGGGCCGGGCAAGACCGGUGCCAGCCGCCGCGGUAAUACCGGCGGCUCGAGUGGUGGCCACUAUUAUUGGGCUUAAAGCGUUCGUAGCUGGGUUGUUAAGUUUCUUGGGAAAUCUACCGGCUUAACCGAUAGGCGUCCAAGGGAUACUGGCAAUCUAGGGACCGGGAGAGGUGAGGGGUACUUCAGGGGUAGGAGUGAAAUCCUGUAAUCCUUGGGGGACCACCUGUGGCGAAGGCGCCUCACCAGAACGGCUCCGACAGUGAGGGACGAAAGCUGGGGGAGCAAACCGGAUUAGAUACCCGGGUAGUCCCAGCCGUAAACGAUGCGCGUUAGGUGUAUCGAUGACCACGAGUCAUCGAGGUGCCGAAGGGAAACCGUGAAACGCGCCGCCUGGGAAGUACGGUCGCAAGGCUGAAACUUAAAGGAAUUGGCGGGGGAGCAC
rnacentral:rRNA from 1 species